rnacentral:lncRNA from 1 species
AUUUGUGAGACACAGUACCCAUUUUAUCUUGCUUUUUAAGAAGCUCUGAGGAGGGGAGUGAUGACAGUUGGCAUACUUCCGAGGAGGAGGAACUCGAUUUUACCCCCAAGAAGCUGCAGAAGCCAAACUUGACACUGUUACUGAAUGCUUCCCAGCAGUACAGGAAAAACAAUGGUGAUAGUUCUAGAAUUGAAAGUCUUAAGUCACCAAAUAAAUGCCUCAGAGAAAGAACCCUGUCAGAUGCAAAUGCAAGCAAAGGAAAAUGUGGACAGUUACUGACUCAAGAUGUGUCAGAUGCAAAAAGCCUGGAGGAGGAGAAGGAAAUAGAGGAGGAAGAGGAAUAUGAUGAAAAAGAUAAUGGAGAUGAUGAUGAGGAUUAUGAGGAAGAGGAAGAAGAGGGUGAAGAUCUCACUCAAGACGAAAAGGAGGAGGAAGAUCUUGAAGAUGAAGAAACUCAGUCUAAUGGCAUAUUGGAGGAGGAGCAGGGUGAGAAAAAAGAACCUAAAGGGGAAAUUAAUCAGAAACUGGAAUACGUUAGUAGUGCCAAGUAUGAAGGGAAAGCUCGGUGUGAAGCUGGAAAUGUCUGUGAUAAUGCUGUAAGUAAAGAACUUGAUGAAAAGGUGGAGGAAUCUGUUGAUGCUCAUGUGUCUUUUCUAGGUGGAUGUUAUGAACCGUCGCAAGAAAAUAUAACUGCCAUGUCUCCAAAGACAAUGAAUAAUGAAGUAUCUUGCAAGUCAGUAGGAAAACAAGCUGUCUUUCAAAAUCUAAAUAAUUUGCAAGAUACACAAGAAAGCUGGAACAAGAAAAGCAUGAUCCAGAAGUUUCACAGAAAUGGUGACUCCUGUUCUGUAGACUCUGAAAUGACCAACUGGAAAAAGGAGAUACCUCAGCCUCUCUCAGGUAGCUGUGGUCUUAAGGAGAAAAAGUCAGGCUUUGGUGAUGGCUUUGAAAAUGGUGAUAAUUCUUGGUUAGCAGCAAAAAACCUAAGGCUUGGAAGUCAAAGACCAAGCUCUGUUGUUCUUGAAUGUGUGGAUGAUGACGAUACUGAAGAAGAGCAAUGUGAAGAAGUAGAUGGUGAAGUCUGUGAAGCACUGAAGCAAGAAAGUGAAAACUUGUGCUUAAACAAGUGUGAAGAAAAUUUAAAAGCAGCAUUUUACUCGAGCACCAAAGAGGAAUCGUCUGAGUGGGAUGACGAGGAGGAGCAGGAGAAGCAAGGUGUUGGUGAAGAGCUACAAACUGCAGUUGUUGAGGGUGCCCUGACAGCAGUGGAAGUAGAGGAAGAUGCUGAUUCUCCCUGGGAUUCUGAGAUUAUAGAGACAGAUCCUGGAAGUCUGAGAAAAGCAUCAUCUGGUGUGUUGUUCCCAGCUGCAGACAGACAUGGAACAUGCUCUCAGGUUGCUUCAGGGGAACACAAUGGCUUUUCAGAGAAACCCAGCAAUUCCCAGUUGAAGACUCCCCAAGCUGCUUCAGAAAUAAAUAAACCCUCUCCUAAAAAUAGGCAGGAGAAAUCAGAUCUGUUGGAGGAAUUUGGUUUAGGAGAUGCAGAGGAUAUUGAAGGUGAGUACUCGGGAUCUACCUCUCACGUAUCAUCAUCAGCUACAAAAGAAGACAUCAAGGAUACCACUGAAAACUAUGGAGUACAGGUUGAGAAAGAAAGAUGUUUAAAAAUGAAGGUGAUGACAAAACAAGAUGACCCUGAUAAAUCAUAUACACCACCAAGCAACACUGCUGAUCAGCAAAGGCAACAGAAGCUAACUCUAAGGAAGAAUGAGUGUUUGAAAAUGGAGAAUGAAAGUGCUAUAGAAGAAAAGGACAAAAAGAACUUUUCAUCUGAGAAGAGGUCAAAACUGAUUAAAAUGCCAAUGAAAGGAAAACUUGCUCUGAAUGCAGAUGUUGCAAAGAAAAACAAAAGAUGGACUUUGAAGAAGGUGGCUGAUCAGCAGUUGGGUUCUUCCAGUGGGAAUAAUUUUCAAGUACUGGAUGACAGCACUUCCAGUGAGACAUCUCAAGAUGAAGGAAGGUGCUGAAUAUAAGGAAUGUUAUAAAGAAACCUUACUUAA